CCCUGAAGACACUCAUGCAGGAG
rnacentral:piRNA from 1 species